rnacentral:rRNA from 1 species
AGGACGAACGCUGGCGGCGUGCUUAACACAUGCAAGUCGAGCGGAAAGGCCCUUCGGGGUACUCGAGCGGCGAACGGGUGAGUAACACGUGAGCAAUCUGCCCUUAGCUCCGGGAUAGCUCCGGGAAACCGGAAUUAAUACCGGAUACGACCACAGCCGACAUCUGCUGUGGUGGAAAGGAUUCCGGCUAAGGAUGGGCUCGCGGCCUAUCAGCUAGUUGGUGGAGUAACGGCCCGCCAAGGCGACGACGGGUA